rnacentral:rRNA from 1 species
UACGUAGGAUCCAAGCGUUAUCCGGAAUCACUGGGCGUAAAGCGUGCGUAGGCGGCGUGUUAAGUGAGAUGCGAAAUCUUGUGGCUCAACCAUAUAGACUGUGUCUCAUACUGGCAUGCUAGAGAAUGGCAGAGGCAAGUGGAAUUACCGGUGUAGCAGUGAAAUGCGUAGAGAUCGGGAGGAACACCAGCGGCGAAGGCGGCGACCUGGACAAGUACUGACACUCAACUACGAAAGCGUGGGGAGCAAACAGG